rnacentral:snRNA from 1 species
GUUCUCGCUUCGGCAGCACAUAUACUAAAAUUGGAACGAUACAGAGAAGAUUAGCAUGACCCCCAGGCAAGGAUGACACACAAAUUCGUGACGCAUUCCAUAUUUUU